rnacentral:lncRNA from 1 species
UUAAGAUCUGCUUUAUAAGACAUAAAAAAAAAAAAAGUUAAUCCUAAGAAAGACAUUUUUUCCUUUGGGAUGUCGUUCUCUUCAGUGAAGGCUGUGUGAGAUUCCUCCCAGUGGAGCAGUAGUACUGUAAUCUGGAUAAGCUUCUUAAGCCUCUCCAUGUGUCUGGGUUUGCUGUGGCCAGUCUCAAAAACUGAUACGGUUUGUUUUCAGGAAGACACGUUUCCAGAUAAUGUAUUUAGUUCCUUCUGAAAGAUAUCUGCAUCACUCUCAGACAACAAAAGGAAAGAUAUCUUCAACUUCCUGGACCAUAGUACGCAAUGAAAGAACCCUUCAAGUCCUGUCAACUUCAACUUCAACCAUGUCUUCAAGUUUCCUGAAGCUUCCGAAAACUGAUCUUGACUUGACAUGGAAUAUCUCUCACGACACUAUAAGCAGGAAAAGAAAAGCUUUUUUUUUAUUCUGUUCCGAAUUGUUUGGGUAGAUGUAAGAAGUUACGUUUUGGAUAAGUAUGCCCAGAGAAGGUGAAGACCCCACCAGUUCCUCUCAACAUUUUGCCAUAUAUCCUCCAUACCAGACAUCGGUAAGAAAAAUUGUGCACGGUCGCAUAAAUCCGCAUAAAUCCUGAAACUGGCUACUCAUUAUUGUCCACAGUGCCCAUUACAAUGGGCGACCGACCAGUCUGCACUGAUGCGUACAAAACUGACCAAACUGACAGCGACAAAACCCAACGGCAUGAACCAUUUGCAUCUCAAAAGCAAGCAAACAAUCUGUCCACAUUUCAGAAUCUCCUCGAAUCCUCCUGGAUGUCCGCCAGCUUCCACCGCUCGAUUUUAGCCCUUGGCAGCGAGGAGAUGGCCUCUUUUGCAAAACCUCAAGCUUCUGAUUUUGCCGUAUCUGGCUUGCUACUUUACUCUCCCGGAAUAUCUCUUCCCAUCGGAAGGUCACAGCAUAAUUCUCUUCCCCUGGGCAGUUUCUUGCACGCUCGACGCAAACGUGAGCUGCAACUCAGUAACUCACACAAAUUGGUCCAGGCUGGCAACAUCCCUUGUGUUCUGUCACGGGGAGAGCAUGUGGGUAAUGCAAAUCCUUUCGCAGGUGGGUUUCCAGCGCCUGUGUGUUCAUCUAAGCAGAAUUCAGAUAAGAAGUCGCAUGCCGCAACUGCAUGGCUUGUAGAAGCCCACAGAUCUGCCUUAGAUGGACAAGCCUACAAAACUAGCAUGGCACACCAGGCGCCUCAUCUUGAAAGACUUGAGAUGAAAGGGAAUGUGAUGAUUAGACAUCAGGUGGAUCCAGAAGACAAGAAAACAUUCAAGAAGAACAGCCACUUCAAUAAAGAUCCAAGGCAGGUAGAUAGUCCCAGAAGGUCCAAUGGAAAUCAGACAGGGCCCACUGGAAGGAAACCCAAUGGUGUGCAUUGGAGUUCUCGGCUUGAUCCGGGAUGUUCUACAGCUUUCACAAGAAGCGACACAUUCCAAGCAAUUACCAGACACAGUGGAAGCACUAGUACACCACAUCCCAAAGCUGCACCAUCAAGACAACAUCUUUUGACAUGUGGGAAUGAGCUUGAUGCAGUGGCAGCAACCCCACAGAUUCACCUCUUCACCACUGAUGAGGAGAUAGCAAAAAGGUUCCAGGCUCUGUACCAGUUCCAUCUGCUCCAGCGAUGCUUUAGAAGAUGGUGUGCUGGUCUCAGUUCUCACACUAAAGCCUGGCUUUAUAACCAGCGGAGGAUUCUCAGUAAAGCUCUGCUUGCUCUCCAGCGGGCUGUUCUGCUCCAGCGUGCUCAGACAGACACUGCAGAGAUGGCCCAGAGAGCGCAAACGCUAGCACAGGCUUUUCACCGGUGGAAAGAUGUCUACGAGAGGAGACAGCAGGCGAGGCUGGGCUCAGACAGUUGCACUCGAGGCCACGUUGUUGCAUUAAGAAGAAGACUUGUUAAGGCCAGUGAUUCACUACCUCUGAGGAACCACGUCCAGAGCCAGCGAAUCCACAGAGCAGCCGUGAUUCACCACCAUCUGUCGGUUCUGUAUAAGCACUGGUUGCUGUGGAGACGGGCCUGGAUGAAGCAGAUCUCCAGAUCCCAGCAGAUGCAGCGGGCUCGGGCGUGGAGGGAGCAGAGGCUGCGUAUCAGGACCUGGACUAUGUGGCUGUGUGUUUGGAAGAAAAGACAGCAAACCAGACACCUGCACAGGCUGGUACUUCAGCGGUGGAAUCAGCACACCCAGAGGGUCCGGUUGAUGCAUCUUGCACAGGCUGUGGAGCAGCUUCGUUCCAUUCGUUUACUAUCUGCAACAUUCAGGAGAUGGAGGCAGGCGAAGGAGGUGAGGGAGGCUAUGCAGAGACUGCGCCACCUACAGGACAGAGGGCUACUGCAGGCUGCCUUUGAGAAAUGGCUACAUAGCUCACGGCUGAAGGUACAGAUAAGGGAACUACAUCAGAGAAGUGACCAGGCUCAUUUAGCAAGGAUUUUUUCUUACUGGAAUGGACUGGUCCUGCACAGAAGAAAGUUGGCGUUAAGCUACAGAAGACAACAAACUCUGACUGUGAGAAGCUUCUUCCAGCUGUGGAGAAGAGCACUGGAGCUGCGUCUGCUUCAAAAGCGUUUUCUCAUCCUCUUGUUUUUCAAAAGACAGCGAACUUCUCAACACACCAGUGCAGUGCAGGACGAGACAAUGACCGUGGCUUUUUCUGGGCAGCACUCUUUCUGUCCAUUGGAAGUGCUUUGGGCCAGGCUUGUGCUCCAGAUGUUUGUCUACACUUGGAGAGAGAAAUUAAAGAAACAACAGCAAGCAAGAUGGCAUCAUGCAGCACGUGUUAGAGAGAGGCAAAGGACUGAGCUUGUGGAGUGGCACAGACUCGCUCAGACUGAGCUGUCUGACAAAGUGCUGAGAUUCAGAGCCAGACUGGCUCAGUUUCAUAACUCCCUCUCCACACCAGGCGUCCACAGCUCUUCUGACCCCGGACGUUCUGCAGACUACACAGGCUCAGGGGGACAGCAGGCCGUGGCUCUGCAGGUGCUGGUCAGAAUGAUGCAGCCCGACCUGAGCCUGGCCUUCUCACAGUGGAGGUCAGCGCUCCUCAGCAGCAGGAAGAUGAAGCGGCGGGCCGACCUGUUCAGGAACAGCAGGGAACUGACUGGUGUAAGGAUGUCCUUCAGCACCUGGAGAACACACACAGAGAUGCAGCAGAGAGCAGUCCAGUACAGGGAGAGGGUGCUGCUCUCUCACUGUGUAACUGACUGGAGAACGCUGAUGUGGUGCGGACGCAGAGAACGUUCUCUACAGCUGCAGGCCGUUCACUGCCAUCAGACCAGACUACUGAAACACUGCUUUACAGCGUGGCACAGACAGGCUGCAGGGUCUGUACCGGACAGUAGGCAGAGGUGGCUGGAGCAGAGGGUGGAGAGCCGUUGCCUCAGCCGGGCUUUCUCCACGUGGGCAGCACGUGAGAGACAGCAGAAGGCCGUCAGAGCAUUCUGUACCCAAGUGCUUCUGAGGAGGUAUGCAGUAGAGAAUUACACUCCACACGGAUUGAAGGAAUGGUUGCAUAUUACAACUGGGUCUGUGCACAUGGUUUGCCUGUGCAGCUGUUUCAUUUACUAUGGUGAUUUACAGCCAAUGUGGUGACCAGUAGUAUAUGGGCCAUUUCAACGAAUGGGCGCCAUUUGCUUGUUGCAAGUAAAUCUUCCAAUUUAAAAUUAUUUGUAUGUCUUUUUUUC